rnacentral:snoRNA from 1 species
AAGACCAUACUUUCAGGGAUUAUUUCUGCAGUUCAUUACUAAAGAAGUUUCUAUGAAUGAGUAGAGCAAAACAAAAACAAAAACAGAAACAAAAUUCUAGCUGU